AGCCUGAAAGCCCAAAAAUCUUUGGCAGGAGGCUGAGACCCGCGUGAGGAGCCCCGAGGGCAGGGCUGUGCGGCUGAGAACCAUUCUCAAGCAGAGGGACAAGAUGAUCAAGGAAGGGAAGUACACGCCGCCCGACCACCACAAGGGCAAAGAGGAGCCGCGGCCUUGAUUCGCGGGGGGAACGUGGCUGUCGGUCGCCCGUAGAGUCAUUGACGGGGAACUCCUCCGGGAAGAAAACCUGCGGCGCAGCCGGGUUACGCUGGAGCGGUGGGGUGGGGUCUGCGUGGGGGGCCCUGCCCCUGCUGAAGGGGGAUGGCACCACGUCGGGCAUCACCUGGGCUAGUAAAUGUCUCCUUCGGAACAGC